rnacentral:tRNA from 1 species
GCAAUAGUAGCUCAGCGUUAGAGCACCGGUCUUGUAAACCGGACGCCGGAGGUUAGAUUCCCCCCUACUGCU